rnacentral:rRNA from 1 species
AUGUCAUCAUGUGCAUUACAUUUUCAUACGUGUUCAUCUCAUGCAUUCGAGCUUUUUCCCCGUUAUCCGUUUUGCGUUCCGGCGCUUCGUUCUCCUCCGGUGGUCAUUUCUAGCUUUCUUUCAUGUGUGGGGAUUGAACAUUUCCGGAGUGGACCGAGACUUGUCAUGCGGCCUUGGUUUACUACCGGUAGACCGCCUAUCAAGUUUCGUAUCAUUUGGACUUCGAUUGAUACUCCAACGGUUAACCGAGGGACCGAAAAGGCCUCGUGUGGGUUGCAGCCCAACACCCCUCCAAUUUGGCCCAAAAACCCACCAAACUCUGCUCCAUCACCUAGAGCGUUCGAUCACGAUCGCGUGGCCGAAAACCGCACCUCAUUUGGACUCUCCUAG